CUAAUUUCCAUUUAAUAGGCAUUUUAUGUGCUCACAAUUUAAUCGUUUUUAACACAACACAAAAUAAGUAUUCAGAGACACGCCGAGUAAAUAUUUGGUUAGGCUCGCCGACCCUACUGAUAACACUUUUGGCAAACUUGCUCGCUCUUGAACACAAAAAAACUCAAAAACUGCAAAUACACUUGUGCCUUAGGAACGCAAUUUGCAUUUGAAAGCAGCGUUUAACACCAUUUUUAUGAAUUUUACUAAUUUACUUAAUUAGUUGCACCAAUUUUCCGUGAAAAUGUUCUCGCACUCGUUCUAAUGGCUUGGGCUUUGCAAAAACAAUAACAAUAACUAAUGGAGCUGCGGAAGCCGGUAAACGGUAUAGCCCAGGCAUAUUCGUCAUUCGCCGGUUAUGUAGUACACACGAACGAGUGAACUUCCUCUGCUAUCAGAAGCAGUCAGAAGUGUGCGUCAGCCAUAUUGCUCUUCUAACAGCAUCAAACUUCCUAUCUUUGCGUGUAUGGCAUAUCAAAACAAAAAUCUAGCAGCAACAACAACAACCAUUUGGAGAUGGCUGCGAAUUUGACGGUCAACAUGUGCGGUCAGACGAAACUGCAUGUUAACUGAUGCUAAGGAUGAUUAAAUAACCGCUGCAACCAAAACUACAACGCUGAGCACUAGCAACUGACACUGGCAAAGUGCACAAUUGUUUCCAAAUUUCUUGAAGUUAUGGCAUUCAACUGAUCAAAUGUAAGUAUCGGCAGCCAAACUCGUUCGCUACACGAGAAUGAUUUUCACUGAUAAAUCCUGAGGCACAUCUAUGUCCUCUACUGGCAUACACACAUAAUUAUUGAAGAGGUAGCACAAGAACGAACACAAACGUGGCAGAAGGAGUGCUUUUUUAAUUCAACUUCUUCGCAGAUGCAAUUUGCAUUUAUGUACUUUUAUUGGCAACACAUUUUUUUGGCUUUCACGGCCAACUGACUAGAGAAAGCCGACGAGGUAUCUUCCAAACCGUCGGCAACUAUUUUGCAAUUAUUACGUAUUCAAUUAUUACUAUAAGAAUGCCAUCGAUCCAUGAAAUACGUCAGGCAUGCAUGCAUAAAUACAUACGAGUAUAGUUGAAAAAUAUAAGUGCUUAGAUAUAUACUUAAAUGUGUGGUCCUUAUUAAUAUUCAUAACAUGAGUUCGAUCUAGAAAAUAAAUUCUGCUUUAUUUUUCUACUUGUAUAAGAUACUUAGUAGGUAGACAGUCACAUUAUUUACAAUGAAAAUAUUGUAAGUUAAAGGCUUGGAAUUAAAAGAAAUAUGUAUAUUAGCACUACAUAUAAUUAUGCUCUAAUAAAAAUUGCAUAUCAUUUAUAAAUAUAUGCUGUAAAACAUAAAUUGAUAUAGAAAUCACUGA